AAAAGAAUACCACAAACUCUCAUCAUAAACCAUAGUUUUAGAUAGAGAGAGAGAGAGAGAGAAAGAGAGAGAGAGAGAGAGAAUACAGGAAAUUUAGACAGAAACUUAAACUGAUUUUGAAGAAGCUGAAAAUCAAGGUUGUGUAUGCAUAUGUUGAAUUGUUGUGCGAAAUAGUUGCCACCAUGAGUUGCUGUGUCUGUGAUAUUGUGGAAUUUGAGCAAGUAGGAAUUUUGUCUCCCUUGGGUGAUGGGCCCUAAACUUCCGGAGGGUAAUUCCGCGUUAAGCAGCAAUCGGCCAAGCUGGAAUUUGGCACUUAUUGGUAUUUCCACAUUAAGCAGUGGUCGGCCAAGCUGGAAUUUGGCACUUAUUUGAGAUCAAAUGUGCACUUAGUUGUGACAGUGCUGCUAUGAUGAGGAAAAUGUGUAAAUGCAUGCUAUUUGAAUAUUUUGUGAUAGUAACUUUUAAUGAAGAGAUUGCUUAGAAUAAAGAGUGUGUUCAUGCAUAUUGCUUAGAAUAAAAAGUGUGUUCAUGCUCCUUAUGAUUGUGCAUGCAUAUAAGAAAUCAUAUAUUAAAGUGUUGAAAUCCUUAUUGGAAUAAGAGGGUAUUAAGAAUGUCCACUGAGCUCGUGGUUGCUCACCCUAUUCCUCAAUAAUAUCAAGUUCAAACUGAAGGAGAGCCCCACUUAUUAAGUUCACCAGGAGUGCCAUUUUUGACAAGUAUUACAGGUUGGGAGGAAGACACGAUACUAAGCAUGUAUUUGGUUGGCAGUUAUGUAUAUAGACAAGGAAGUGUGAAAAAUGUUAUAUGUAAAUUACAGCCCAAUGUAAAGAACUUGUCACUGAAAGUAAAAUGUUUUCAAUUGCUUUAUAAAAUAUAUGGAUGAAUCUUGUGUAUUCAACAAA